AUAUUGCCUGUUCUGGAAAUUCACAACCGUUUAAAGCAAGUAACAAGCCAUUCUAAGAAGAUCUAACUUAGGAAGAAUUGGGAAACUGCCCAUUUUCGUGUCCUUCCCUGUCCCUGGUAUCCACCCUCCUAAUAUAUCUAUUUUCUCCUUCCAUUCUAGGAAUGGACAUGACCCCCGCUACAAAUCACUUGUUGAAGCCAAGCUAUCUUUUCUCUCCCUUUAGCCAGAUUCUCAUACCUCCCUUGAAAAAUAAGGAGAAUAUGAAAAAUACAAAAAAGAAAUAUAGGUAUCUAAUUUUUAAAGGGGCAUUUCUGGAAGAGAUAUCCACCCUAAUGAGAAUGUCAUCAGAGAGUCUGACAGAGUGACAUCAGUAUGGUUGGAGAGCUAACUGCCU